rnacentral:rRNA from 1 species
ACCAGACUCCUACGGGAGGCAGCAGUGGGGAAUAUUGCACAAUGGGGGAAACCCUGAUGCAGCGACGCCGCGUGAGUGAAGAAGUAUUUCGGUACGUAAAGCUCUCUCAGCAGGGAAGAAAAAAAGUCCUUUGGACUUUGGACGGUACCUGACUAAGAAGCCCCGGCUAACUACGUGCCAGCAGCCGCGGUAAUACGUAGGGGGCAAGCGUUAUCCGGAUUUACUGGGUGUAAAGGGGGCGCAGACGGCGAUGCAAGCCAGGAGUGAAAGCCCGGGGCCCAACCCCGGGACUGCUCUUGGAACUGCGUGGCUGGAGUGCAGGAGGGGCAGGCGGAAUUCCUGGUGUAGCGGUGAAAUGCGUAGAUAUCAGGAGGAACACCGGUGGCGAAGGCGGCCUGCUGGACUGCAACUGACGUUGAGGCCCGAAAGCGUGGGGAGCAAACAGGAUUAGAUACCCGCGUACC